rnacentral:rRNA from 1 species
CAGUCGCCGCGGGAAUACGAAGGGUGCAAGCGUUACUCGGAAUUACUGGGCGUAAAGCGUGUGUAGGUGGUUGUUUAAGUCUGUCGUGAAAGCCCUGGGCUCAACCUGGGAAUUGCGAUGGAUACUGGGCGACUAGAGUGCGGUAGAGGAUAGUGGAAUUUCCGGUGUAGCAGUGAAAUGCGUAGAUAUGCGGAGGAACACCGAUGGCGAAGGCAGCCCCCUGGGCCAACACUGACGCUCAUGCACGAAAGCGUGGGGAGCAAACAGGAUUAGAUACCCCUGUAGUCCCUGUCUCUUAUAC